GAUGAACGCUAGCGGCAGGCUUAAUACAUGCAAGUCGUGGGGCAGCAUGGUGUAGCAAUACACUGAUGGCGACCGGCAAACGGGUGCGUAACACGUACGCAACCUUCCCGUUACUGUGGCAUAGCCCAGGGAAACUUGGAUUAAUACCACAUAUUAUAUUGAGAGGGCAUCCUUUUGAUAUCAAAGCUUCGGCGGUAACGGAUGGGCGUGCGGUUGAUUAGGUAGUUGGCGGGGUAACGGCCCACCAAGC
rnacentral:rRNA from 1 species